rnacentral:rRNA from 1 species
GAUGAACGCUGGCGGCGUGUUUAACACAUGCAAGUCGAGCGAGAAAUCCUUCGGCUGAUUCUUCGGAAGAAAACUGAAAGAUGGAAAGCGGCGGACGGGUGAGUAACGCGUAGGCAACCUGCCCUUUGCAGAGGGAUAGCCUCGGGAAACCGGGAUUAAAACCUCAUAAUACGAAAGCAAGACAUCUUACUUUCGUCAAAGAUUUAUCGGCAAAGGAUGGGCCUGCGUCUGAUUAGUUAGUUGGUAGGGUAACGGCCUACCAAGGCGACGAUCAGUAGCCGACCUGAGAGGGUGAUCGGCCACAUUGGAACUGAGACACGGUCCAAACUCCUACGGGAGGCAGCAGUGGAGAAUCUUGCACAAUGGGGGAAACCCUGAUGCAGCAACGCCGCGUGAAGGAAGAAGGCCCUUGGGUCGUAAACUUCUGUUCUAAGGGAAGAUAAUGACGGUACCUUAGGAGCAAGUCCCGGCUAACUACGUGCCAGCCGCCGCAGUAAGAC